AAAAUAAAAAUAAAAAACAAAUAAAGCAAUAACAACCCAACCUCAUGAGCUAUCAUCUUCUAGAGAAAUCUAAAAAUAUCUGAACCUCAACAAACCAGCUCUAAUAGAAGACAAAUUGAUGGAAUUCUAAUUGUUUCAAAUUUCUUCUCACAAAACCACACAUCUAUUUUGAAACUUAACUCAAAUACAAUCUUCAUCACCAUUCACGAUCAAUUUCUGAUUCAGUGAUUUCCUGACCAAAAACUCUAUUAACAAGGUACGUGUUUCUCCCCACUUUUAAACUUUUAGUUGCCAAACAAUGAGCAGAUUCAUUUGCUAGUCAUCUUGUAUGUUAAAACUUACAGCCAUUAAAACCCUCACUUAGAUUUUUAACAUAAUGUAAGGUUCUAUUGCCGAUUUUUCCCUCUCCGUAUUUUGAGCUCUCUUGAUCACCGUCAAAGAAUCCCCUUCAAUUUCAUCAUGCAUAAUCCCCAAAUCUCUACCCAGAAUAACUACCUGUACACAAGCAAUGGCCUCUGCUACAAAAACUGAAGGUAUAAUCUCGUGAAUCAUUGUCUUAAAAGCCAAAAUAUCUCUUUAAAGUUUCUGAAUAUGACUAUUGAGCAGGAUCUAUCUUCCUUGGUAUCAAAAGUGGCAUCGAAAUUAAUUUUAUAGAAACCUAACAACGGAUGUCUCCAUCUAUCAAAAUCAGGGCUCAAGGUAAGAUUCUUUUUAUUAAGCUCUACUAAUUCAUGAAUAUACUGUUUAAUAAACUUUGCUGUCUCUGCUCUAGAUUUCUUUCUUCCCUCAUUAAUCCAUUGACUUCUGCUAGUCUAAAUAGCCCAAAUGGCACAAACAAAUAUUCGGCAAACAUCCACCCUACUGUUUAACAAAACCCAAGUAAACCAAUCCAUAAACUCAAAUUGUAACAAUUCUUGUGACCAGACAUAAUCUAAAUUUUUCCAUGUCUCUUUGGUAAUAGAACAAUCACGAAAAAUGUGUUCCCUUGUUUCCAACCCUUGCAUGCAUCUUGGGCAGACAACCUUAGUAGUCAAUCUUUUUGUUCGAAGAUUCACUAAAGUAGGAAAAUAACUGAAAGCAGUUUUCCAAACUGUAAUUUUUAUUUUAAAAGGAAGAUCUAGGUUCCAAAAUUUCUUGUAACAUUUUGUAUUGUCAAUUGGGUUGUAAUUAUUUGGGUUAUUGAAAUUACCUUGUAAAAGUAACUUAUAGCCGCUGCGCACCGUGAACUCACCCAUCAACUCACCCCUCCACACCAUAAAAUCAUCGUGAGGAAAUUUGGCCAAAGGUAUUCGCAAGAUCUUCUGUGCAUCACUAUCAGUAAAGGUACUAAGAACCAGUCCAACUCUCUAUGAUCUAGUAUCACUAUCAAUUAGAUCUGCAACCCUCAUAAUGUGACAGCCCUAAUUUGGUCCUAGUCGGAAAGUGGUUUCGGGACCACAAAAUCGAGUCAUAAAAAUAAUUAACCGUUAUAAUCUAUGCUUACUGUAUGUGUACAUGCACGUGUGAAAGUUUCAUGUUUUAAUUUUAUCAUUUGUAUGUGAAAUAGAUUAAAUAGGACUCAUGUGAAAUAAAUGUAAAAGAUGAUAGGUUAAUUUCAAAGUGGUGUAAUAAUGCAUGUUAGAAAAAGGAUGGGUUUGCAUGUCAAAUAUCCAUUUUUGACAAGUAGUGGCCGGCCAUGAUGAAGUGAUAGAUAAAAAUAUGUAUUAAUUAUUAGUUAAUGGCUUAAUAUUUUAUAGUAUAGAUGAAUAAAAUGAAAAUAAUAAUAGAAAGAAUGGGAAGAAAACAAAGUCUUAACUUUGUUCUUCUUAGCCGAACCAAAAGGGAGAAAAAGGGGAGCAAACAUUCAGCCAUUUGAAACCUAAGAAAGGUUAGUAAAUCAAGUUAGAUUUUUGAAAUUCUAGUUUGUUUUAGGUUACUCAUCAUGCUACUUACUUAGCCCAUGCCAAAACUUUGAAUUUGGAUGGUUGAAUUGAACAUUCAGUUAUGGUAGAUAAGGAAGGAAUUUGAUUUUUAUCUUUAAGUUUUGAUGAAGAAAUUGUUGAUGAAAGAAGUUGAUCUUGUUAAAAACUAUAAUUUCUAAUACUCAUAUGUGUAAUAGCCGAACCUAGACUUUGCUUAAUGUCUUGAACAAAUGCCGAUUAGGUGUUUUGAAAUGGAUAAAUUAGGUGCUUGAUUUCCUAAAGGUUCGGCAUAGCACAUGAUAUUUUUGUUAGUAUGAUUUCGAAAAAUUUGAGUAAUGUUAUGUAUAAGUAAAAUUAUUAGGUACGGUCUUGGCGGUAUAUAUGUACAAUUGAUCUAUUUAGCUAAUAAUAUCUAGGGUGAUAAAUAAUUAAAUAAUAUGUAUACAAAGAAUGUGGGAAAGAGUGAAUUGGCAAUAAUCUUUUUAGGACAGCAGCAGUAAAGUGAUUUUGGAAAAAUCACUAUAAAUUAUGGGAGUUGAGUUAGAAGCUGAAUAAAUUAUGUAAUUAAAGCUUGAUGAGUCUAGUUUCUUAUAAAAGAAACUAUAAAAGCAAAAGAAUUUCUGAUAAUGAGAUAAUUGAAGUAAUGUGGGACAGAGUCAAAAUGACUUCUAGAUCCCCUAUUCUGUUUUUCUAAAAUCACUAUAAAACUUAUAAAAAUAUUAAAAUGAUGAAAUUUAUAUGCUUAGACUCCUUAAUGAGUCUAGUUUCAAAUGAAAUAAACAAGGACAUGUUUUGAAUUCUGUACAAUGAGAAAUUUAUUUCGUAGUGAAGAGUGGUCAGAUUAGUCAAACAGUGAAACAAGGGAAACUUUAAGAAAAAUUUGGUAUUGAUUGGCUAAACUAAAAAUUCUGAAAAUUUUAUGGAUAAAAGAUAUAUGAGUCUAUUUUUAGGAAAAUUUUACGGAAAUUGAUUUGGAGUUUCGUAGCUCCAGUUAUAAAUAAUUUAGUGACUGUUGCUCAAGAAGGCAGCUUAUUGUGAAUUUGUGAUUAUGGGGUAAUCAUUGAUAAAAAUUUGUUAAGGAGUUGCUUAAUGUUUUCUUAUAAGCUUACUAUAAUCUGUAUAUGUGAAAGUCGAAUAUAUAUGUAUUAUAUUCUGAAAAUAAUAUUUGAAUAGUCGAUUAAUGUUUAGUUUAAAAUUUGUUGAAUUAAAGCUCAAGAGCAUAGGGGGCAAUUUCGAAUAAGGGAAAAGAGAAAGCAAUCGAGUAGCUUAUCUGCAGUUGUUCAAAUAAAUCCGAGGUAAGUCUUUGAGUAAUGGAACUUAACUUAUGAUUUGAUUAAACAAUGUUAUAUAUUUAUAUAUAUAGCACAAUAAAUAAAUUGUGACCUGAUGGUUUCUCUUGAUUUACAUAUUGAAAUAAAUGGGUAGUGCAUCGGCUUGUAAUCGAAUGGUUAUAGAAACUCAUGUAGAGUAGCGAAACGGAAUCGUGUCAUUUGUAUGAGCUGUUGAGCCGAAAAUGAAUGAUGGAUAAUCAUGUUGUGUUUGUGAUCUAAUAAUGUAAAUGAAUUGUUAAUGAUUUAUAAUAUAAAUAUAUUUUGUGCAUGACAAUUGAGGAUUAUAUCCGGGUUAAGUCCCGAAGGCAUUCGUGCUGGUUGCUAUUUCCGGGUUAAGUCCCGAAGGCAUUCGUGUUGGUUGUUAUUUCCGGGUUAAGCCCUGAAGGCAUUCGUGCUGGUCGCUAUUUCCGGGUUAAGUCCCGAAGGCAUUUGUGCUGGUUGUUACAUCCGGGCUAAAUCCCGAAGGCAAUUGGGUUGGAAAUGUGCAAUCUUGUCGUAAUAACUUCUAUUGAUGGGCUUACAACCCUAAGAUGAUCAGGUAUGCACCGUAUAUACAUUGAAAUUAAGUUAAGAUUGACUAUGAGCAUGUUAGUAUAUGGGUUGAAGUGUGAAGUAACAUAAGUAUAUGAUUUUUGCGUAUUUGCAUUUAUUUAGCCUUGUAAUCGAAUUAGAUGUAUUCGGCAUAAUUAUGAGGUUAGUUGGGUAAAAAGAGAUUAUCUACAUGAUACGAAUUCGUGUUUAAGGAAAAAUUUAAGAUGACAUGUAUGAACGAUAGGGGUAUAUUUAAUCAUGACUACAUUUAGUCAGAAAGAUGAUGAGCCUUAUGAAUGCUAUGCUUUAGUUAUAAAUGAUUUCAUUACUUAAGACUUACUAAGCAUCGAAAUGCUUACUCUUUUUGCCUUCAUUCCCUGUUUUAUAGAUUUUGUUCGUGAACUAUCGGACUCGGGAGAUCUAAAGUCGAAGUCGUCCACACUAUCUAAACCUUUCGGUACUCUUGUAAAUGAACCUUGAUAAUGGCAUGUAUAGGAUUGACUUUUGAUGUUAAUUACGUAUCUUUUUGGUGAUGUAUAUAUGUAUAGCCAUGCGAAAAUGGCUUGUUAAGUUAUUAUAUGCGCUCCACAUAAUUAAUGUGUAUGUGUGGAUGAUAAUCGAUUAAUAUUUUAAAUGUUUUGAUGUGAAUUAAACUUAGGAAUGAAUUAAGGUACUAUUUAAAUUGAGAAGAUUGCUUUGCAUAGUGUAUAAACGAAAUUCGAAUUCGAAGGUAUGCUAUCGGAAAUUACCUAAGUAUUGUCAAAUGAAUUUUCGUACUUAUUUGGUAAUAUUCCUUACCCCCUCCGGUGACGGAUACAGGUUAGGGGUGUUACACAUAAUAUCUAGC
rnacentral:lncRNA from 1 species